rnacentral:lncRNA from 1 species
CUCUGAAGAAUGAGGUAUGCCAGUUGAUAAUAUAUAGUGUGUACAAUUCAAUGUUUGCCCCUUACACAACAAACCCUAGAAGAGGCUAUCCCACUAUCACAACUUACAGAGCAAAGUUCUCACUUGCAAUCAGCAAUAUCUAGUACCCUCUUGUUUGUUGCAUAAAUGUGUCGUAUAAAGAAAGAAACUGGGCGUGUGUGUGUGUUUCUGUCUACUGGCGCACCAGUCUGAGUAUCUUGAGUGCAUGCCAGCAUGUCAUCGACGAGCAGGAGGAGGAUCUGCUGGAUUCCACCAAAGACCUGGUCCUUGGAAAAUGAGAUAACAUCUUCCUCCAACACUCCCAAAGAAAGAGGUGGGAGACUGGCCACAACAGGGCUGAGUCGGGGACUCUACAUGGGGAAAGAGACAUGCCACUGAGGAAGCUGGUAGAAGCAGAGAUUGAUGGGGUGGCAGUAGUCACACGGUUGACAGCCCUGAAUGAGGCUAUGGGUGGUGUGAAAAAGGUGAGCUGCACUCUCUGAGAAUUCUUCAGGGAGUGCCAUGAACAAGAGGUACUCUCCCCUAUACAUGGACUUGCUUAGAUUGACUAGGUGUCAGUGUCUUUGCAGGGAAAUGGAAAAUGACAAUAAGAAUUGUGGUCUUAUAUUUUGAUUGGAAGAACAACAAUGAUUUAAUACUGCAGAUAGAUUGUAGGUUCUAUCAUUUUAAUUGUUUGCAUAAUUUCCAAUCCCUUAUUUGAAAUGUUUUCCCUUUAUACUUCCCCCCUUCUCUACCAUCCCUACCCUAAUUGGAGUAAACUAACUGACAACAAUACUUUUACUGCUACUUACAGCUAUUUCGGUCAUAUCUACAGUACAUGUAGUUAAAUCAUUAAAUAUUCAGAAUCUCCUCUCUCUUCAAGUGCUGGAUUUUCACCCACAAUAGCCAAUCCACCAUUCAUUCAGAUCUUAACUCCAACCCACCGAUGUCCACAGAUU